ensembl:lncRNA
AAAGUAAUUUGUAAGACUGAGAAAAGAAGUAAUAAAACUCCUUCAGUGAUUCUGUAGGACCUAUUGCAUGGAGGUAUAAGUUCUGAUUAGCUGAGGAUGAUUUUUGUUUGUUUUCUUGUUGAGGAUUCAAUAAUAUUUCAAGUUGGAUUCAGCUGAAGGACCCUUCAGAUUCUGUCAUGUAACUGACUACUAAGAGACUUUAACUCUUUCUCUCCCACUCUACCCCACAUCAUCUGCAGUUGAGCAUUCUUUAGGUCACCCAACUAAGUGGUUCUGGAAGCUAUAAUGAAGUCAUCCAUUACAUAUUCAAUAAAUUCGUCUGCCAUCAGAAGAAAGAGAUAGCAGGUAUCCAACAUGGUUUUCAUCUUCUGCCUCAGGUGUGUGAGGAUAUUCCGAUCUCAUCAAUUGGACUCUCUGCUUGAAUUUCAGUGGCUGUAAGUAGGCAAAAGAAAGCCAUCCAUAACACAUCUAAACACAGGAAGUCCUUAUCUUCCAUAACAGAGAAAAAGCUGUCUGGGAACAGAUUUCAGAGAGAAAAAGAGGCAACACAGAGCUGUAGCCUUCUUCUCCCUGCACUAGCAUUAUGAAUGUGCUGUGUCCAGAUUUAGUGUCAUAGAUGUAUUUGCAUGUUCCAUUUCCAUAUUCAUUUGGCACUUGGAUCCUGUACUGAAGCGUAUUUUAUUCCUGCAGAUUGUGGGUGAAUUUUAUAAAUAAGACUGGAGAUCUAAGUUUAGCAGUUCAGAAUUGAAUUCACAGGUCAAGAAGGUUAUAUAUGUAUAUACAUAUAUAUAUAUAUAUACAUAAAGCAUGAGCGUACAUCUGUCAUUUCUGACUUUAUCUUCAGUUUCUUCCUGACUUACUGACCGUAUCUGAGUAUUUGCUUUUUUACCACUGUUUCUAACUCUGCUUUUUGAUUUCUUGAGCUCUGUGAGUGAUAGCAAAG